rnacentral:misc_RNA from 1 species
CAAGAAGCCGAAAGGCUACUUAAAACCAUCGCGAACUUAUCCAAGUUGCUUCGGCGGCGCGGCUCCCCUCACGGGGGACCGCAGCCCCGCCUCUCAGGAGGUAAGGGGCAGCCGCCGGAGGUACGAAACUCUGUAUUAUAGUCGUAUCUCUGAGUAUAAAACAAAUAAGUUA